rnacentral:lncRNA from 1 species
UAAAGCCCAGGAAGGAAGUAAGUACUCAUAGAUGGGUGAAAUUAUUAGUCUACAGCUUAUAUAUGUGAGGUUCUUGAUAAAUUUGUCAUGCAUAAAGGCGCCACCCUUAAUGGGGCCUUGAAUAUCGAUCAAGAAGCCCUUGCCCCUUUUUUUUCCCUUUAGGAGGAUUCGAAGCAAUGAUCAGUGGCCGGCAAGUUUCAUCUACUGAAGGAAAUGUGUUUUUGAGUUGAGAUUUGGCAAGGAAAAGCGCACGUGACAUCUACGUGUCUUGAACGUACACGUGGACCAGUGAACAGGCCUCCAUGUGGAUCCAAUACGUGGCUGGUCAAAUUUCAGGACACAUUCAGAGGAUAUAUAAUAAAUUUGGGAUUGCCUUGCAGUGCAAAGUACAAGAGCUAGACUCGGCGCAUUUCCUUGGGAGAAUGAUAACAAGGAUCAAGAAAUGGGUAGGAGAUUUGGGAGGUUGAAGAGACUGGUUAGGCAACAGAGAGGGAAGCUUUAACUUACCAUGCUUCUUUGUUGGCACAAGUACACGCAGAAGCUAGCCUGCUAAGUACAUUUUG